rnacentral:rRNA from 1 species
GAUGAACGCUGACAGAAUGCUUAACACAUGCAAGUCAACUUGAACUUCGGUUUGGGUGGCGGACGGGUGAGUAACGCGUAAAGAACUUGCCUCACAGAUAGGGACAACAUUUGGAAACGAAUGCUAAUACCUGAUAUUAUGAUUAUAUGGCAUCGUAUAAUUAUGAAAGCUAUAUGCGCUGUGAGAGAGCUUUGCGUCCCAUUAGCUAGUUGGAGAGGCAACGGCUCACCAAGGCGAUGAUGGGUAGCCGGCCUGAGAGGGUGAUCGGCCACAAGGGGACUGAGACACGGCCCUUACUCCUACGGGAGGCAGCAGUGGGGAAUAUUGGACAAUGGACCAAGAGUCUGAUCCAGCAAUUCUGUGUGCACGAUGAAGUUUUUCGGAAUGUAAAGUGCUUUCAGUUGGGAAGAAAAAAAUGACGGUACCAACAGAAGAAGUGACGGCUAAAUACGUG